UCGUGAACGGGUCGUUUAAGAAAAGCUCAUCCUAUUGAAAACAUAUUUUUGAUGAUGAUGAUGUGAGUGAGGAUGAGAUUGAAUGAUUUAUGACGAGAAUUUCAUACUCGUUGUCAAGAUUUUGCAGUAAAUGCUAUAAAUGUAGAACUGCAUUGUAGCGUUGAAUUCUCCUUACUUGGUUUCACUUUGAUUAAUUUUUGUAUGGCUCAGAUAGCGUUUAAGCGAUCUGAGUCCGUUAGUUUUAUGAAAAGCACGGCGUGUAGUGUUGGGUUAAACACCAAUUUUCUGUUAUUCUAAAGUGCCAGCUAACUUGCUAAGCAUGAAGCGUGAGGGCCGUAUUAUAUGUAAAAGAUGUCUGUCAACGAUUUCUUUGACCAAACAAUGGUAAAAUUUUUCGUGGCAGUUGUUCGGGAGCAGCUAAUGUUGAACAAGACUUCAGCUACAGCGAAAUACGCAAUGUGACGAAGUUCACAGAAGUUACCACAUCCAAAUCCAAUUGAAGGCGAGAGUAUUACCUUCUGAGACGAAAUUUUUGGAAGGCAGAAGGAUCUGUGUUUGUUAUUGUUUUCGUUUGCUGCAUUGAACUGUUGUAGUGACUCAGCAAUAAACUUUGUGCUAUUUUGAGUUUUAAGAGACGAAAAGCAAGAUGCAAAAUAGUUGGAGAGAAAACAGGAGACGUAAUAUACAUUAACAUUCUUUGAGGCAAAUAAGUUGAUCGGUUAAAAUGAUUGUGGUUAGAAUAUCAUAUUUUUCUGUAGAAUAUAAAGUAUGCGAUUUAUUUAAGUAAGUGUUGUACUGAUAAACGUUAUAAACUGCAGAUUUAGUUUCGUAGGUGUGUGCAUAUGAAAGGGUACACAGCUGUGUUGUAUGCAACUCAAUACUGUUGUAAUGUUUCUUGAAAGUUAACUCCCCUUUAAACAAGUUGAGUUGUUAGGUGAUGCAGUUGUUGAACUUUAUUUUUAGUCACUAAAGUAAAUAACGACAAAAGUCGCGAAAAACAGGAAGAGACAUGCAGCAAAACUGAAGAUACUGUGGGAAAUUUGCAUUUGCAAAACAAGAUACGGAAAUAGCAGGUAUAAUGAGUGAUGUCAUGGUCACCAUAUUGUAUAUCCUUGAAAUAGUGUACACCACGUUGAUGGCAUUACUGGUCAAAACAGAACAACAUCGCAAAUCCAGUACCACACAAGAACAGCUACAGGAUUGCACAACCAAAUGUUCUCUGCCAUCUCCCUAUGUUUUCUGGGAUGGUUACUAGGGAUAGGCCAUGGCCAGUACCCAAGAUUAUUACUUUUAUUUUACCAUCUGUGCCAAAUUAAUGUGUUUGGUAAUAUAUUAAUGUAAUGGGACUGUCAAUAGUAGUAUCAUAGAUAAAAUUUAAGAAAAUGAAAUGGCUUACAUUCCACAGUGAAAUCCACUGUCAUAAAAUGUUUAUUGAAGUGGAUGACACUUGUAUCUCAUGUGUUGGAGUUAGUG